AGUGAACGCUGGCGGUAGGCCUAACACAUGCAAGUCGAACGGCAGCACAGUAAGAGCUUGCUCUUACGGGUGGCGAGUGGCGGACGGGUGAGGAAUACAUCGGAAUCUACUUUUUCGUGGGGGAUAACGUAGGGAAACUUACGCUAAUACCGCAUACGACCUACGGGUGAAAGCAGGGGAUCUUCGGACCUUGCGCGAUUGAAUGAGCCGAUGUCGGAUUAGCUAGUUGGCGGGGUAACGGCCCACCAAGGCGACGAUCCGUAGCUGGUCUGAGAGGAUGAUCAGCCACACUGGAACUGAGACACGGUCCAGACUCCUACGGGAGGCAGCAGUGGGGAAUAUUGGACAAUGGCGCAAGCCUUAUCCAGCCAUCCCGCGUGGGUGAAGAAGGCCUUCGGGUUGUAAAGCCCUUUUGUUGGGAAAGAAAAGCAGCAGGUUAAUACCCCGCUGUUCUGACGGUACCCAAAGAAUAAGCACCGGCUAACUUCGUG
rnacentral:rRNA from 1 species